rnacentral:rRNA from 1 species
ACUCCUACGGGAGGCAGCAGUAGGGAAUCUUCCACAAUGGACGAAAGUCUGAUGGAGCAAUGCCGCGUGAGUGAAGAAGGGUUUCGGCUCGUAAAACUCUGUUGUUAAAGAAGAACACCAUUGAGAGUAACUGUUCAAGGGUUGACGGUAUUUAACCAGAAAGCCACGGCUAACUACGUGCCAGCAGCCGCGGUAAUACGUAGGUGGCAAGCGUUGUCCGGAUUUAUUGGGCGUAAAAGCGAGCGCAGGUCGGUUUUUAAGUCUGAUGUGAAAGCCUUCGGCUUAACCGGAGAAGUGCAUCGGAAACUGGGAGACUUGAGUGCAGAAGAGGACAGUGGAACUCCAUGUGUAGCGGUGGAAUGCGUAGAUAUAUGGAAGAACACCAGUGGCGAAGGCGGCUGUCUAGUCUGUAACUGACGCUGAGGCUCGAAAGCAUGGGUAGCGAACAGGAUUAGAUACCCCUGGUAGGAUAGCG